CCUCAAAUCAGGCGGGACUACCCGCUGAACUUAAGCAUAUCAAUAAGCGGAGGAAAAGAAACUAACAAGGAUUCCCCUAGUAACUGCGAGUGAAGCGGGAAAAGCUCAAAUUUAAAAUCUGGCAGUCUUUGGCUGUCCGAGUUGUAGUCUGGAGAAGCGUCUUCCGCGCUGGACCGUGUACAAGUCUCCUGGAACGGAGCGUCAUAGAGGGUGAGAAUCCCGUCUUUGACACGGACUACCAGUGCUUUGUGAUGCGCUCUCAAAGAGUCGAGUUGUUUGGGAAUGCAGCUCAAAAUGGGUGGUAAACUCCAUCUAAAGCUAAAUAUUGGCGAGAGACCGAUAGCGAACAAGUACCGUGAGGGAAAGAUGAGAAGCACUUUGGAAAGAGAGUUAAACAGUACGUGAAAUUGCUGAAAGGGAAACGCUUGAAGUCAGUCGCGUCCGCUAGAACUCAGCCUGGCUUUUGCUUGGUGCAUUUUCUAGUGGACGGGCCAGCAUCACUUUUGGCUGCGGGAUAAAGGUCGCAGGAAUGUGGCACCUUCGGGUGUGUUAUAGCCUGUGAUUGUAUACCGUGGCUGGGAGUGAGGACCGCAGCACGCCUUCAUGGCGGGGGUUCGCCCACCUUCGUGCUUAGGAUGCUGGCGUAAU
rnacentral:rRNA from 1 species